rnacentral:tRNA from 1 species
GUUUUAAUAAUUUAAUAAAAAUACUGGUCUUGUAAAUCAGAAAUAAGGUAACUUUUAAAACU